rnacentral:rRNA from 1 species
GUACACACCGCCCGUCACACCAUGGGAGUCGUUUGCUCCAGAAGUGCCUACGCCAACCGCAAGGAGGCAGGGCCCCAAGGAGUGAACGGUAACUGGGGUGAAGUCGUAACAAGGURKCCGUAGGUGAACCUGCAGAAGGAUCA